rnacentral:rRNA from 1 species
UACGUAGGGUGCAAGCGUUAAUCGGAAUUACUGGGCGUAAAGCGUGCGCAGGCGGUUAUGUAAAGUACAGAUGUGAAAUCCCCGGGCUCAACCUGGGAACUGCAUUUGAGACUGCAAAGCUAGAGUGUGGCAGAGGGGGUGGAAUUCCGCGUGUAGCAGUGAAAUGCGUAGAGAUGCGGAGGAACACCGAUGGCGAAGGCAGCCCCCUGGGAUAACACUGACGCUCAUGCACGAAAGCGU